rnacentral:rRNA from 1 species
AUUGAACGCUGGCGGCAGGCCUAACACAUGCAAGUCGAGCGGAUGAAGUGAGCUUGCUCCUGGUUUCAGCGGCGGACGGGUGAGUAAUGCCUAGGAAUCUGCCUGGUAGUGGGGGAUAACGUCCGGAAACGGGCGCUAAUACCGCAUACGUCCUGAGGGAGAAAGUGGGGGAUCUUCGGACCUCACGCUAUCAGAUGAGCCUAGGUCGGAUUAGCUAGUUGGUGGGGUAAAGGCCUACCAAGGCGACGAUCCGUAACUGGUCUGAGAGGAUGAUCAGUCACACUGGAACUGAGACACGGUCCAGACUCCUACGGGAGGCAGCAGUGGGGAAUAUUGGACAAUGGGCGAAAGCCUGAUCCAGCCAUGCCGCGUGUGUGAAGAAGGUCUUCGGAUUGUAAAGCACUUUAAGUUGGGAGGAAGGGCAGUAAGUUAAUACCUUGCUGUUUUGACGUUACCAACAGAAUAAGCACCGGCUAACUUCGUG